AUUGUCGAAUGAUGAUACUUCCAUGCACCACUCUGAAGCGGUUAUUGCGCAAAGUGCAGAUUAUGGAUAUUCUGACAAGUG